GCCCAGCUCCUGCCUUCUGUCUCUAGAGCAUCCCGGCGCCAACACUCAGCCUCCUACCUUAUUAAGGCUCUAUGAUGAUCCUUCCUGGGGCUGUAGGGAGAGAAAAGGGGAACCACCAGGGGCAACAGGAGAAGCAGGCUCUCUCCCGUUGUGGGGCUGGAUUCCAGAACUCCAGGAUCAAGACCUGAGCCAAAGGCAGACACUUACCCAACUGAGCCCCUCAGGUACCCCUGAUUAACCAUUAAAGAAGGCCGACCACAGCCUUGGCCUUGACUACUGAUCACCUGUGC
rnacentral:lncRNA from 1 species